UACGAAGGGGGCUAGCGUUGCUCGGAAUCACUGGGCGUAAAGCGCACGUAGGCGGCUUCUUAAGUCAGGGGUGAAUUCCUGGAGCUCAACUCCAGAACUGCCUUUGAUACUGAAGAUCUUGAGUUCGGGAGAGGUGAGUGGAACUGCGAGUGUAGAGGUGAAAUUCGUAGAUAUUCGCAAGAACACCAGUGGCGAAGGCGGCUCACUGGCCCGAUACUGACGCUGAGGCACGAAAGCGUGGGGAGCAAACAGG
rnacentral:rRNA from 1 species